UACGGAGGGGGCCAGCGUUGUUCGGAAUCAUUGGGCGUAAAGGGCGCGUAGGCGGCUUUGUAAGUCCGUUGUGAAAUCCCUCGGCUCAACCGAGGAACUGCGACGGAUACUGCUCGGCUUGAGUCCCGGAGAGGGUAGCGGAAUUCCCAGUGUAGCGGUGAAAUGCGUAGAUAUUGGGAGGAACAUCGGUGGCGAAGGCGGCUACCUGGACGGGUACUAACGCUGAUGCGCGAAAGCGUGGGGAGCAAACAGG
rnacentral:rRNA from 1 species